rnacentral:rRNA from 1 species
UUAGAGUUUUGAUCCUGGCUCAGGAUGAACGCUGGCGGCGUGCCUAAUACAUGCAAGUAGAACGCUGAAGGAGGAGCUUGCUUCUCUGGAUGAGUUGCGAACGGGUGAGUAACGCGUAGGUAACCUGCCUGGUAGCGGGGGAUAACUAUUGGAAACGAUAGCUAAUACCGCAUAAGAGCAGUUGUUGCAUGACAGCUGUUUAAAAGGUGCAAUUGCACCACUACCAGAUGGACCUGCGUUGUAUUAGCUAGUUGGUGAGGUAACGGCUCACCAAGGCGACGAUACAUAGCCGACCUGAGAGGGUGAUCGGCCACACUGGGACUGAGACACGGCCCAGACUCCUACGGGAGGCAGCAGUAGGGAAUCUUCGGCAAUGGGGGCAACCCUGACCGAGCAACGCCGCGUGAGUGAAGAAGGUUUUCGGAUCGUAAAGCUCUGUUGUAAGAGAAGAACGAGUGUGAGACGUGGAAAGUUC